AGUGAACGCUGGCGGUAGGCCUAACACAUGCAAGUCGAACGGCAGCACAGAGGAGCUUGCUCCUUGGGUGGCGAGUGGCGGACGGGUGAGGAAUACAUCGGAAUCUACUCUGUCGUGGGGGAUAACGUAGGGAAACUUACGCUAAUACCGCAUACGACCUACGGGUGCAAGCAGGGGAUCUUCGGACCUUGCGCGAUUGAAUGAGCCGAUGUCGGAUUAGCGAGUUGGCGGGGUAAAGGCCCACCAAGGCGACGAUCCGUAGCUGGUCUGAGGGGAUGAUCAGCCACACGGGAACGGGGACACGGUCCAGACUCCUGCGGGAGGCAGCAGUGGGGAAUAUUGGACGAUGGGCGCAAGCCGGAUCCAGCCAUACCGCGUGGGUGAAGAAGGCCUUCUGGUUGUGAAGCCCUUUUGUUGGGAGAGAAAUCCAUCUGGUUAAUACCCGGGUGGGAUGACGGUACCCAAAGAAUAAGCACCGGCUAACUUCGUGCCAUCCGCCGCCGUAA
rnacentral:rRNA from 1 species